GGAUGAACGCUGGCGGCGUGCUUAACACAUGCAAGUCGAACGAUGAAGCCCAGCUUGCUGGGUGGAUUAGUGGCGAGCGGGUGAGUAACACGUGAGCAACCUGCCCCUGACUCUGGGAUAAGCGCUGGAAACGGCGUCUAAUACUGGAUAUGUCCCGUCACCGCAUGGUGUGCGGGUGGAAAGAUUUUUCGGUUGGGGAUGGGCUCGCGGCCUAUCAGCUUGUUGGUGAGGUAAUGGCUCACCAAGGCGUCGACGGGUAGCCGGCCUGAGAGGGUGACCGGCCACACUGGGACUGAGACACGGCCCAGACUCCUACGGGAGGCAGCAGUGGGGAAUAUUGCACAAUGGGCGGAAGCCUGAUGCAGCAACGCCGCGUGAGGGAUGACGGCCUUCGGGUUGUAAACCUCUUUUAGCAGGGAAGAAGCGAAAGUGACGGUACCUGCAGAAAAAGCACCGGCUAACUACGUG
rnacentral:rRNA from 1 species